rnacentral:ncRNA from 2 species
UUUUCAUAAUUAGUUCUUACUUAUAUAUCGUCGUAAUAGGUCGACAGUUUCUACCCGAUACCGGAAUAUCGGACUAUAGGUAAAAAAGUGUUUGUU